UUUUUUUUUUUUGUAUCAUAUUUAAUGUUAGGUAUCGGUUUGCAGUCAGCCACUGAGCCUUUCUGCUCUGUAGGAAAACUAUUUCACCUACUCCAUGAAAGAACACCUUCCAUCUUCAAUAUUUAAAUAAGGCUCCAGAGAUUCUGUGACUUGGUCAUAUGCUCUUGUCUGUUUUUUCACAUUCCUGAUAUUAUCACAUUCCAGACAAUACCAAUAAAGCCAAAGUCCCUUCCCGCCCUUCUGCAGUUCCACUCCCAUCCUCACUGUUAUCAUUAUUAUAAUUAGGUAUGUACCUUCUCAGCCUUUUUCAAGAUAUUCAUACACAUAUAUUUGAACAUCGGAAGAUAAUACAGGUUCGUUUCUCUUUAUGAAAAUAUAAAUGUCUAGUUUGCAUUUUUCACCUAACUGUAUCUUAGACCUUAAGUGUUAGUACCUGUAAAUCUCUCUUUAAAAUACAGUAAAGCUAUUAUAGAUUAUGACUGUUAUAGGGAGUUCACCUUUGACUUUUUAAUCUGAACUUGUCUGAAGAGUUUACCGCACUAUUGAAAAUCACAGGUAUUUUAUCUCUAAAGUCCCAUUAAUCUUAAGCAAUCAUUGAAGUUCUCUGAAGCUUUAGGUAUAUAUGGCUUAUUUUUCUCAGCAUAUGUGUAGAUUUAUAAGCUUUAUGAUUUGAAAUAACUUGCAGUUAUUAACACAUUUAUCUUAAUUUCAAGUGAGGUACCAAAAAUGUAUCCACACUUGAAAAAUGGAAAAAGAACAUCUUCCUCCAUUUGUAAAAAGAAACGCACUGUGUGUCUAUAUAGCCUUAUAUGGUUCUCAAACCAUUUUUCCACAUAUUAUACCAGUUUAUCAUUUUAACCUCCUGGCAACACAUCUGAGGUAUGCAUGACAAUAUUUUAUUUUUGUGUCCAACCAAUGUUGUUAGGUCAGCCGGCAAAUAUUAGCUGCAUGCUUGCAGUGUGUUGGGCACUGUUGCAGGAAGCCAGCCUAACAGAUGAGCUAAAUGAGGUAGGGGUCUACACAAGGAAACAGCAGCUCAAGGAUAUUAAGUGAUUUACUAUAAGUCAAGAAUCUAGUUAAGUAAUGAUAUGGAAGCUGACCCAAAUCUUCUUCCUUCUAAUCUACUGUACUUUCUUGUAAACAACCUUGAGCCCUUGUGAGGUACAAAGAAUAACUUUAAAUAAAUUAUUGCAUUAGUAGCACUUUAAAAAUUGGAAUCCCACCUGUUACUAUUGCUAGGUUAUUCCAUGUUGUUAAAGUCUUUAUGAGCAACCUGAAAUAUAUAAGAUUUUAAUUUUGGCAGGAAGAGCAAGACAUUUUUUUAAUUGAGGUCACUGUGAAUCAUUAUUGUUAUUGAUUUUAAAAUACCUACAAUUUGAAGAAUGCUUUCAAAAUGGAUUAGAGGUUGAUUAUCUUCUACAAUUCUAAUCCUCUUCUACAGUACCCUAACCCAUUAAACACUUUGCAGAUGUUCCACUAAACAUCCAGACCUGUGGUCUAUAAUUCCAUGAAUUAAUUCAAUUUAAUAAUACGUGAAAAUCUGUAGACUCCACACUGAAAUUGGUUAAGCUUAACUGCCAUCCUAUUCAAUGCUAGAGAGAAAUAAAAAUGAUUAAAAGAUUAGGUCUGGGGCGCCUGGGUGGCACAGUCAGUUAAGCAUCCGAGUCAUGGUUUUGGCUGAGGUCACAAUCUCAGGGUCCUGCCCCAAGUCCUUCUCAAGCCCCAAGUCCUUCCCACUCCCCACUCAGCAAGGAAUCUGCUUCAGAUUCUCUUCCUCCCACAGCCUCUCUCCCACUUAUGUUCUCUCUCUCUCUCUCUCUUUCUCAAAUAAAUAAAUCUUUUUUUAAAAAAAAAUAGAGAUUAGGUCACUGUCCCUGUGAGAAAACGUAGAGAAACAGGUUAUAUAUUAUCUGGAGAAAAAAUAUUGAAUGGAAACUUCAAACUGGCUUUGACAUUUGCUAAUACUGUUCCUGUAAGUUCUAUUCCUUUCCAUUGCUUCUACUAACACUAGGCUAACAGAAGCUAAAUAGUAAUAAAAUGCAUGUUAUAUAAUAAAUGUAUAGAGACUGUCAUCCCUCGUAGUGAUGAAUUCCCAUAUCACUAAAAUAGGUCAGGGAGGUCAAAGUAAUUUUCUCCAUCAUCACUUCCAAGCCAUUCUGACUUCUGUUGAGCUGAGGGAUAUUGGCACAACCUGGAAAGUCACUCAGAACAGCUCAGGGGGUGCCUGGAAGCAUGGACACCUGGGCU
rnacentral:lncRNA from 1 species